AAAAUGUUUCGGUAAUCAAUUUUGCGGUAGCAUAAGUUAGAUGACGAAGCAAGGACUCUUCAAUCAUCUCCUCUGACAAAUCAUCAUCCUCUCCUGUCUCCUCAGCAUCUUCUUCAACAAGUAAUCCGCGAUCGUUAAUCCGCCGCCACUCACUAACUAGUUUGUGAUCUAAUUCGGACAGCAAAGCUGGCAGUAAAGGUAAAAGACAUUCAUCGCGAAGUUCUGCAGGACAAUUAACGCAAUACGGUUUGAUUACAACAUUCACCAUAGACGUCCAUUGAUGUAAACUUAACCCAGCUGCAUGAGAAAAGAAAGCUGUCAAAAACUGCUUAGACAAUCCGGGUACACAAAAAAAUGCUUGACCUAGACGCAUAAAUGAAGCUAUAGCAUAAUAACAGUAUUCCCUUAAACGCCUUAAAAAAUGACCGAACGAAUGUAUUAACUUGUUAGCUGAGACGUCCAUCUUGUA